UGACGCUGGCGGCAUGCCUUACACAUGCAAGUCGAACGGCAGCACGGAGCUUGCUCUGGUGGCGAGUGGCGAACGGGUGAGUAACAUAUCGGAACGUACCCUGGAGUGGGGGAUAACGCAGCGAAAGUUGCGCUAAUACCGCAUACGAUCUACGGAUGAAAGUGGGGGACUCGCAAGAGCCUCAUGCUCGUGGAGCGGCCGAUAUCUGAUUAGCUAGUUGGUAGGGUAAAAGCCUACCAAGGCCACGAUCAGUAGCUGGUCUGAGAGGACGACCAGCCACACUGGGACUGAGACACGGCCCAGACUCCUACGGGAGGCAGCAGUGGGGAAUUUUGGACAAUGGGGGCAACCCUGAUCCAGCAAUGCCGCGUGAGUGAAGAAGGCCUUCGGGUUGUAAAGCUCUUUUGUCAGGGAAGAAACGGUGAAAGCUAAUAUCUUUUGCUAAUGACGGUACCUGAAGAAUAAGCACCGGCUAACUACGUGCCAGCAG
rnacentral:rRNA from 1 species